rnacentral:rRNA from 1 species
UACAGAGGUCCCAAGCGUUGUUCGGAUUCACUGGGCGUAAAGGGUGCGUAGGCGGUCGGGUAAGUCUGAUGUGAAAUCUCACAGCUUAACUGUGAAACUGCAUUGGAUACUAUCCGGCUCGAGGAAUGGAGGGGAGACUGGAAUACUUGGUGUAGCAGUGAAAUGCGUAGAUAUCAAGUGGAACACCGGUGGCGAAGGCGAGUCCCUGGAAAACACCUGACACUGAGGCACGAAAGCUAGGGGAGCAAACAGG